GCUCAGAACGAACGCUGGCGGCAGGCUUAACACAUGCAAGUCGAGCGCCCCGCAAGGGGAGCGGCAGACGGGUGAGUAACGCGUGGGAAUCUACCCUUGACUACGGAAUAACGCAGGGAAACUUGUGCUAAUACCGUAUGUGUCCUUCGGGAGAAAGAUUUAUCGGUCAAGGAUGAGCCCGCGUUGGAUUAGCUAGUUGGUGGGGUAAAGGCCUACCAAGGCGACGAUCCAUAGCUGGUCUGAGAGGAUGAUCAGCCACAUUGGGACUGAGACACGGCCCAAACUCCUACGGGAGGCAGCWGUGGGGAAUAUUGGACAAUGGGCGCAAGCCUGAUCCAGCCAUGCCGCGUGAGUGAUGAAGGCCCUAGGGUUGUAAAGCUCUUUCACCGGAGAAGAUAAUGACG
rnacentral:rRNA from 1 species